rnacentral:rRNA from 1 species
UACGGGGGGGGCAAGCGUUGUUCGGAAUUACUGGGCGUAAAGGGCUCGUAGGCGGCCAACUAAGUCAUACGUGAAAUCCCUCGGCUUAACCGGGGAACUGCGUCUGAUACUGGAUGGCUUGAGUUCGGGAGAGGGAUGCGGAAUUCCAGGUGUAGCGGUGAAAUGCGUAGAUAUCGGAAGGAACAUCAGUGGCGAAAGCGGCUUCCUGGACCAGCACCGACGUUCAGGCACGAAAGCGUGGGGAGCAAACAGG